rnacentral:rRNA from 1 species
AUUGAACGCUGGCGGCAGGCCUAACACAUGCAAGUCGAACGAGUGGCGGACGGGUGAGUAAUGUCUGGGAAACUGUCUGCUGGCGGGGGAUAACUACUGGAAACGGUAGCUAAUACCGCAUACCAUCCUAUGUGCUCAGCUGGGAUUAGCUAGUAGGUGGGGUAAAGGCUCACCUAGGCGACGAUCCCUAGCUGGUCUGCGAGGAUGACCAGACACACUGGAACUGAGACACGGUCCAGACUCCUACGGGAGGCAGCAGUGGGGAAUAUUGCACAAUGGGCGAAAGCCUGAUGCAGCCAGGCCGCGUGUAUGAAGAAGGCCUUCGGGUUGUAAAGUACUUUCAGCGGGGAGGCGUUACCCGCAGAAGAAGCACCGGCUAACUCCGUGCCAGCAGCCGCGGUAAUAC